CUACGGAGCGCAGCAGUGGGGAAUAUUGGACAAUGGGCGCAAGCCUGAUCCAGCAAUGCCGCGUGAGUGAAGACGGCCUUAGGGUUGUAAAACUCUUUCGCUAGGGAAGAUAAUGACUGUACCUAGUAAAGAAGUCCCGGCUAACUCCGUGCCAGCAGCCGCGGUAAUACGGAGGGGACUAGCGUUGUUCGGAAUUACUGGGCGUAAAGAGUUCGUAGGCGGACUGACAAGUUAGAGGUGAAAUCCCAGGGCUCAACCCUGGAACUGCCUUUAAAACUGUCAGUCUAGAGACCGGAAGAGGUUAGUGGAAUACCUAGUGUAGAGGUGAAAUUCGUAGAUAUUAGGUGGAACACCAGUGGCGAAGGCGCCUAACUGGUCCGGUACUGACGCUGAGGAACGAAAGCGUGGGGAGCAAACAGGAUUAGAUACCCGUGUAGUC
rnacentral:rRNA from 1 species